AUUGAACGCUGGCGGCAGGCCUAACACAUGCAAGUCGAGCGGCAGCGGGAAAGUAGCUUGCUACUUUUGCCGGCGAGCGGCGGACGGGUGAGUAAUGCCUGGGAAAUUGCCCAGUCGAGGGGGAUAACAGUUGGAAACGACUGCUAAUACCGCAUACGCCCUACGGGGGAAAGCAGGGGACCUUCGGGCCUUGCGCGAUUGGAUAUGCCCAGGUGGGAUUAGCUAGUUGGUGAGGUAAUGGCUCACCAAGGCGACGAUCCCUAGCUGGUCUGGGAGGAUGAUCAGACAAACUGGAACUGAGACACGGUCCAGACUCCUACGGGAGGCAGCAGUGGGGAAUAUUGCACAAUGGGGGAAACCCUGAUGCAGCCAUGCCGCGUGUGUGAAGAAGGCCUUCGGGUUGUAAAGCACUUUCAGCGAGGAGGAAAGGUUGAUGCCUAAUACGUAUCAACUGUGACGUUACUCGCAGAAGAAGCACCGGCUAACUCCGUGCCAGCAGCCGCCGUAA
rnacentral:rRNA from 1 species